UGGUAAUACACACUACACUGGCCUCUUACAGUACUGGUGCUCUUACCUGCCUGUGGUAAGUGUUUUAGCUACUGUAUCACUCAAGUGUUGGUUUUAGCCAAUGUUAAGAAGUUGUUGUCUUGACUUGACAUUGGUCUGCUGGAUUAUCUGUGAGAGAAGAUGUUGUGUCCUCAUUGGUGUGUUUGUGUCUCCACAGACCCCCCCAGUCAUGGCCUACCCUGCCACAACACCAACAGGCAUGGUGGGGGGAUAUGGCAUGCCACCUCAACAGCUUGGCUCUAUGGGUAUGAUGAACCAACCCAACAUGAUGUACAACCAGCCCAUCAUGAGGCCGCCCAACCCCUUCGGCUCUGUUUCCAGUGCCCAGCCCUCUGCAGCCUCUAGUCCUUCCAGCCAGAGUCCUCUCAGAGCCCCCGGACAGGACCCAUUUGCACAGCUCUCUCUCAAGGAUUUCUUGUAGAGCGUCUCUUAGAUGCAGUUCAUGUAAUAUGACGUGUCUCAGAAAAUGAAGCACUUAGCAGCAAAGCUUUGUCCUCAUUGCCAGUCUAACUCUUCAGAGAAACGUUCACCCCCCCUCCCCCACCCAAAUACAAACAUGUCAAGAACACAACGAACAGUGCAAUGACUGGAGGAAAACCAUGGAAACCAUGUCCAAAUGACGAUGGGAAGAAAAUAAUUCACCACCCGUUAUUCUGUCAUUUGUCCAAGACGUCAAGUGAUGCUGCUGUUUUUAAAAAGUACCUAUAGGGAUUCCUCAUCCAUUUUAUCCUCUGCUAUGGGUGCUGAGAAACUUUGAUAUUAUGUAUUUGGAAAUACUACUGUGGUUGGGUGUAACAGCUUGGUGUUCUAAUCUAGUGGGAGGGGGAGGUGGGACAAGAAGAAAAAGACGAGAGGAAUCCUUCCCUCUCUUGAUUCGAUCAUCAGUGAUCCAUUUCCUAGUUAUUUAACUGYCACUGAGUAGUGAUGCUAAUGACGUUUACACCUGUUUUAGUUUGUCUUUUUUACUGUGUUUACAGUAGACAUUCCUCGUGUGUUGUUUAUUUAUUUAUUUAUGAUAUGGUUUUAAAACUGAGGAAGAAAAUCUAUAGUGUAAUCUAUAGUACCUGUGGGAGUGCCUCAGCAUUUUACAUKGAUGUUGGAUUGUUUCAUUGGAGAUGUAGAGAAAAUAAUAUAGAUAUUAUAUAAAAUACACCUAUAAACGGAAUGAUAGAGCACUAAAUAUUCUUCAAGUUUUGUGAUAAGAACAGUUUUACUAGGUCAAAUCUCAUGAUCUCCCCUGUGCAAGUGGAGAAGGGGGUUCCAGUAUGAGUCAGUAAUCUAUAUAGUMAAUUCUGUGCCUAGGGUUUUUUGCAAUGGAACAACUUUUCUGUCUAGUUGAAAAACACUUAAUCCACGAUUCUGAAGCAUCACACUGAGGUGGAAUCCAUUUUGCUUUAAGCUUGGCAUGCCAUUGACUCAAUGACCGUUUAAUGGCUGCCUUUACUCUGAAUGUGAAAGAAUUGCUUUCAUGUUGAACAUAUCUUUCCAUGCUACCCGCACCACCUCAGCUCUGACUCCCUGUGAGCCAGACGAGAGUGUGUCUGGGUGUUGCAGAUACUAAACAAGGGUUACAGUUUUGAUGUAAAUUAGUUGUAUAAAGAUCCAGUGGAACAGGGUGAGAGAGGGGCACUGUUGAUCGGUGCUCUGUGUAUAUAAAACUGACUGUUCAACGGAGAGGGAAGUGAAAGAUGUAUGAAAUAUGAAAGCAAUUCAAUCAAAAUCUGACUCUACCUACGUUUGAUUCAGGAUAUUUUCUGCGUUUGUCUUGCGUGGAUUAUAUUUUUGUUUAUGUAUUUAAAACGUGUAGCAGACAUUGACAGGUUUUUUUUUUUUUAAUAAAGAGCAGCUUCCACAAA